rnacentral:piRNA from 1 species
GCUAAGGUAUAGUCUCAGGCCUGAGCUGG